rnacentral:snRNA from 1 species
GGGGGUGAGGGCUAUCUGGCUGUGACAUCUGUCACCCCAUUGGUCACCAGGGUUGAUUCGGCUGAUCUGGCUGGCUAGGUGGGUGACCCCUUCCUCCCUCACCGCUCCAUGUGCGUCCCUCCCAAAGCUGCGCGCUCCGCUGAAGAGGAUGGCCUUCCCCGAAUAGAGACUGACUGGUCUUCGGUUGAGGGUAUACAAGUAGCUAUGCUUCCCUGCUAGAACCUCCAAAGAAGCUCUCAAAAUUCAGUUCUAAACAAUGAUGAUGAUGAGGAGCCAGGCAGUGGCGUACCCAGUUACAGUGCACAAGGACUGGGGUUCAAGCCCCUGGUU